rnacentral:rRNA from 1 species
CCUACGGGUGGCUGCAGUGGGGAAUAUUGCACAAUGGGGGAAACCCUGAUGCAGCGACGCCGCGUGAGCGAGGAAGUAUUUCGGUAUGUAAAGCUCUAUCAGCAGGGACGAAAAAAGACGGUGCCUGACUCAGAAGCCCCGGCUCCCUACGUGCCCGCAGCCGCGGUAAUACGUAGGGGGGAAGCGUGAUCCGGAUUUACUGGGUGUAAAGGGAGCGUAGUCGGCAAGGGAAGUCAGAAGUGAAAGGGCAGGGCUCAACCCAGUACAUGAUUUUGGAACUGUGGUGCUAGAGUGCAGGAGAGGUAAGUGGAAUUCCUAGUGUAGCGGUGAAAUGCGUAGAUAUUAGGAGGAACACCAGUGGCGAAGGCGGCUUACUGGACUGUAACUGACGUUGAGGCUCGAAAGCGUGGGGAGCAAACAGGAUUAGAUACCCUAGUAGUC